rnacentral:rRNA from 1 species
GAUUGAACGCUGGCGGCAGGCCUAACCCAUGCAAGUCGAGCGGAUGAAGGGAGCUUGCUCCUGGAUUCAGCGGCGGACGGGUGAGUAAUGCCUAGGAAUCUGCCUGGUAGUGGGGGAUAACGUCCGGAAACGGGCGCUAAUACCGCAUACGUCCUGAGGGAGAAAGUGGGGGAUCUUCGGACCUCACGCUAUCAGAUGAGCCUAGGUCGGAUUAGCUAGUUGGUGGGGUAAAGGCCUACCAAGGCGACGAUCCGUAACUGGUCUGAGAGGAUGAUCAGUCACACUGGAACUGAGACACGGUCCAGACUCCUACGGGAGGCAGCAGUGGGGAAUAUUGGACAAUGGGCGAAAGCCUGAUCCAGCCAUGCCGCGUGCGUGAAGAAGGUCUUCGGAUUGUAAAGCACUUUAAGUUGGGAGGAAGGGCAGUAAGUUAAUACCUUGCUGUUUUGACGUUACCAACAGAAUAAGCACCGGCUAACUUCGUG